rnacentral:rRNA from 1 species
AUUGAACGCUGGCGGCAUGCUUUACACAUGCAAGUCGAACGGCAGCACGGGGGCAACCCUGGUGGCGAGUGGCGAACGGGUGAGUAACACAUCGGAACGUGUCCUGUUGUGGGGGAUAACCCACCGAAAGGUGAGCUAAUACCGCAUGACCUCGGGAGAGAAAAGCAGGGGACCCGCAAGGGCCUUGCGCGAUUGGAGCGGCCGAUGUCCGAUUAGCUAGUUGGUAGGGUAAAGGCCACCAAGGCGACGAUCGGUAGCUGGUCUGAGAGGAUGAUCAGCCACACUGGGACUGAGACACGGCCCAGACUCCUACGGGAGGCAGCAGUGGGGAAUUUUGGACAAUGGGGGCAACCCUGAUCCAGCCAUGCCGCGUGAGUGAAGAAGGCCUCGG